GGGGCUGACUGGAUUUGACAGCAAUUGUAAUUCUAUAAUAAGCAUGUCGAGCAUUGUAUUUUAGCUCGUAAAUAUCAAAAUGCAAAUUUUUAAUUGGCGAAUAUAAUUACGCUUUAGCUGCCUAAUUUAUAUAAUUAGAUAAGCUUUUGUCUCUUUUAAAGGACCUCCUGAUUCCUUUAAUUCAUGAGGCAUAAUCAAUUUCAGGAUAGUUUGUUUAUUGCUUUAGUAAACAAGCAAAACUUUUAAAGCUAAGGACUUGGUUUGGUUGCUUUUUUCCUGCCUUUUCUCUACAAUUAAAAGAAGAUAAGCAUGUAGAAAUUUAUUUAAUUCCUUGUUUGGACGUGGGUUCGAAACCCACCAGCUCCACUU
rnacentral:tmRNA from 1 species